AGAGUUUGAUCCUGGCUCAGAACGAACGCUGGCGGCGUGGAUAAGACAUGCAAGUCGAACGCUUGUCUUUCGGUAGCAAUAUCGAAAGGCAGGAGUGGCGCAAGGGUGCGUAACACGUGGAUCAUCUGCCGAAAAGUUCGGAAUAAUCCCGAGAAAUCGGGACUAAUGCCGGAUGUGGCCGGAAGGCUAAAGCUGGGGACCGCAAGGCCUGGCGCUUUUUGAUGAGUCCGCGGCCUAUCAGCUAGUUGGCGGGGUAACGGCCCACCAAGGCUAAGACGGGUAGCUGGUCUGAGAGGACGACCAGCCUCACUGGAACUGAGACACGGUCCAGACACCUACGGGUGGCAGCAGUCGAGAAUUUUUCUCAAUGGGGGAAACCCUGAAGGAGCGACGCCGCGUGGAGGAUGAAGGUCUUCGGAUUGUAAACUCCUGUCAUUGGGGAACAAAGCUGGGGGUUAACUGCCUGCCGGUCUGAUAGUACCCGAAGAGGAAGAGACGGCUAACUCUGUGCCAGCAGCCGCGGUAAUACAGAGGUCUCAAGCGUUGUUCGGAUUCAUUGGGCGUAAAGGGUGCGUAGGCGGCGGGGUAAGUCGGAUGUGAAAUCCCGGAGCUCAACUCCGGAACUGCAUUCGAUACUGCUUUGCUAGAGUGCUGGAGAGGGAACUGGAAUUUACGGUGUAGCAGUGAAAUGCGUAGAUAUCGUAAGGAAGACCAGCGGCGAAGGCGAGUUCCUGGACAGUUACUGACGCUGAGGCACGAAGGCCAGGGGAGCAAACGGGAUUAGAUACCCCUGUAGUCC
rnacentral:rRNA from 1 species